rnacentral:rRNA from 1 species
GACGAACGCUGGCGGCGUGCCUAAUACAUGCCAGUCGAGCGGACUUGAAGGAGUGCUUGCACUCCUGAGAGUUAGCGGCGGACGGGUGAGUAACACGUAGGCAACCUGCCCUCAAGACUGGGAUAACUACCGGAAACGGUAGCUAAUACCGGAUAAUUUAUUACAUAGCAUUAUGUGAUAAUGAAAGACGGAGCAAUCUGUCACUUGGGGAUGGGCCUGCGGCGCAUUAGCUAGUUGGUGGGGUAACGGCCCACCAAGGCGACGAUGCGUAGCCGACCUGAGAGGGUGAACGGCCACACUGGGACUGAGACACGGCCCAGACUCCUACGGGAGGCAGCAGUAGGGAAUCUUCCGCAAUGGGCGAAAGCCUGACGGAGCAACGCCGCGUGAGUGAUGAAGGUUUUCGGAUCGUAAAGCUCUGUUGCCAAGGAAGAACGUCUCAUAGAGUAACUGCUAUGAGAGUGACGGUACUUGAGAAGAAAGCCCCGGCUAACUACGUG